rnacentral:rRNA from 1 species
GACGAACGCUGGCGGCGUGCUUAACACAUGCAAGUCGAACGCUGAAGCCUGGUGCUUGCACUGUGCGGAUGAGUGGCGAACGGGUGAGUAAUACGUGAGUAACCUGCUCUUGACUCUGGUAUAAGCCUGGGAAAGUGGGUCUAAUACUGGAUACGACAUGUCACCGCAUGGUGGUGUGUGGAAAGGGUUUUAGUGGUUUUGGAUGGGCUCACGGCCUAUCAGCUUGUUGGUGGGGUAAUGGCUCACCAAGGCGACGACGGGUAGCCGGCCUGAGAGGGCGACCGGCCACACUGGGACUGAGACACGGCCCAGACUCCUACGGGAGGCAGCAGUGGGGAAUAUUGCACAAUGGGCGGAAGCCUGAUGCAGCGACGCCGCGUGAGGGAUGACGGCCUUCGGGUUGUAAACCUCUUUCAGCAGGGAAGAAGCGAAAGUGACGGUACGUGCAGAAGAAGCGCCGGCUAACUACGUG